rnacentral:snRNA from 1 species
AUCUUUGCGCUUGGGGCAAUGACACAGUUAGUGAAGUGAAACAAAGAGGCGUCAAUUGCUGGUUGAAACUGUUUCCAUAUCACAUCUUCAGUUAUGUAAGAAUCAUCUAUGUGACACGAUUUAUAAUCAUUUCAAAGAG